ensembl:snoRNA
AUUAGUAUGUAGCUCAGAAGUGUGAUGAUUAGGUGUCCAUGCUGUUGUGUAACUUUUGUCUCCCUCAAACCUUGUUGUGACAUCAGCAUAUUACCUGUCUGACA